CGUUAGCGGCGGACGGGUGAGUAACACGUGGGUAACCUACCUAUAAGACUGGGAUAACUUCGGGAAACCGGAGCUAAUACCGGAUAAUAUUUCGAACCGCAUGGUUCGAUAGUGAAAGAUGGUUUUGCUAUCACUUAUAGAUGGACCUGCGCCGUAUUAGCUAGUUGGUAAGGUAACGGCUUACCAAGGCGACGAUACGUAGCCGACCUGAGAGGGUGAUCGGCCACACUGGAACUGAGACACGGUCCAGACUCCUACGGGAGGCAGCAGUU
rnacentral:rRNA from 1 species